rnacentral:rRNA from 1 species
GAUCCUGGCUCAGGAUGAACGCUAGCUACAGGCUUAACACAUGCAAGUCGAGGGGAAACGACAUCGAAAGCUUGCUUUUGAUGGGCGUCGACCGGCGCACGGGUGAGUAACGCGUAUCCAACCUGCCCAUCGCUUGGGAAUAACCUUGCGAAAGUAAGACUAAUGCCCAAUGAUAUCCCACGAAGGCAUCCGAAUGGGAUUAAAAAGUAUUUAGUCGGUGAGUGGAGGUGGGGAUGCGU